GGCCCCUUCCACCUGUGGGGGGCGCCUAGCGCGGGAGCCGGCUUCCGAACCCGCCGUGGGAGAAACCGAGGGGAGCUAACGUGUGAGCCGAGAGGGGCCGAGCGUCGGCGUGCGGCGACGUGGGAAUCGAAUUUGAAGAGAGGCAGGCCUGAGAUGGACGGGGGUGCCACAGACUGACAUGCAAAAGACUUCAUGAGAAAUCAGUUGGGACGAAGGGAAGGACGAGGGACACAAUUCUGUCUUGACCAUGGUCUUUUCCAUUCUGUGUACACAUGAAGCUAUAGCAGACAAGUUCCUUGUUCUCAUUGUCUAGAACUCUCCUUUAGCCGUUGGUACUCCUGAUCACGGUCUGCCUAACAAAUACCUCCACGGGUUUCAAAAUUCGCCUCCUCGGUCCCGCCGUUCUGCAACGUCCCAGGUACAGUUGACCACGCUGUCUUUAAUAAUGUCGUGUGCUUUAUACAAUUAAAUCCCUCAUUGUACUUACCUAUU